GCCUGGGUGGCUCAGUCGGUUAAGCGUCUGACUUCAGCUCAGGUCAUGAUCUCGCGGUCUGUGAGUUCGAGCCCCACUCUGGGCU
rnacentral:tRNA from 1 species